CGGGAAUGGGGUUAUACACCCCCAUGGAACAGGGAAAGGCGGCUCUGGGUCUUUGUGCGUACGCGCAGCCGCCGGUACAUCGAGCAGGUUUAGCUGGGUGAGGCUCCCUGGGCUCUGCGGCACGGCUCCCUCAGGCGGCGCCUCUCCUCACGGCAGCUCAGAAGCGCCGAAAGAUUCCCAAAUAGUCGCGUUAAAACGUGCGGAUUUCCCCCAUCUUCGUGGGAAACCAAAGUGUAAAUCCAAGUUGAUAUUAUCCGACUAGCUCAGCUGGUGUAAUACUUUUGAUGCGUAUUUACAAUUUUUCAGGCUCAGCUGGGCCAACUAUAUUGCAGUUAGCACUUGAUGUGUUUGUAUGCAUGUUCUUCUUGGAAGGCCAGGGACAUUUUGUUUGGUGAUUGAGAAGUGAUGUGGAUGGAUGCCAUGCUCGAAGCCUGUUUUCAUAGUUCCUAUCAACACGAGAGCUGAGGUAGAUAGCAACAGGAAGAAUUUACAGGUGAGUACCACUCUCUGUUUUAAAGCCUUUUUUUCCCAAAGAUGUUGUAUGAGUGUGUAGACAGAUUUAUAGAAAGCAGAGGCUUCUCCAAAUCAGUGGGUUUUAUUAAGGAAUUUUUUU